rnacentral:tRNA from 1 species
GCCUGCGUGAUGGAAUGGUAGACAUAAGAGACUUAAAAUCUCUGGAACUUAGUUCGUGGCGGUUCAAGUCCGCCCGCGGGUACCA